GCCCGGAGAUAGCUGGUUCUCCCCGAAAUAGCUUUAGGGCUAGCCUCAAGGUGAGAGAUACGGAGGUAGAGCACUGAAUGUCCUAGGGGGUAUUGCACCUACCGAAGACUAUCAAACUCCGAAUGCCGUCAUCUUAUACUUGGGAGUCAGACUGUGGGUGAUAAGAUUCAUAGUCGAAAGGGCAACAGCCCAGAUCGUCAGCUAAGGUCCCUAAAUGUAAGUUAAGUGGUAAAGGAUGUGGGAUUGCACAGACAACCAGGAUGUUGGCUUAGAAGCAGCCACUCAUUCAAAGAGUGCGUAAUAGCUCACUGGUCGAGUGAUCCUGCGCCGAAGAUUUCCGGGGCUAAAAC
rnacentral:rRNA from 1 species